rnacentral:rRNA from 1 species
UAGGGAAUCUUCCACAAUGGACGCAAGUCUGAUGGAGCAACGCCGCGUGAGUGAAGAAGGUCUUCGGAUCGUAAAGCUCUGUUGUUGGUGAAGAAGGAUAGAGGCAGUAACUGGUCUUUAUUUGACGGUAAUCAACCAGAAAGUCACGGCUAACUACGUGCCAGCAGCCGCGGUAAUACGUAGGUGGCAAGCGUUGUCCGGAUUUAUUGGGCGUAAAGCGAGCGCAGGCGGAAUGAUAAGUCUGAUGUGAAAGCCCACGGCUCAACCGUGGAACUGCAUCGGAAACUGUCAUUCUUGAGUGCAGAAGAGGAGAGUGGAACUCCAUGUGUAGCGGUGGAAUGCGUAGAUAUAUGGAAGAACACCAGUGGCGAAGGCGGCUCUCUGGUCUGCAACUGACGCUGAGGCUCGAAAGCAUGGGUAGCGAACAGGAUUAGAUACCCUGGUAGUCCAUGCCGUAAACGAUGAGCGCUAGGUGUUGGGGACUUUCCGGUUCUCAGUGCCGCAGCAAACGCAUUAAGCG